CUGUUCCAGUGGGUGGAGUAUACGUGAAUAUUCAUGAUAUUUUCCCUGUUGUGGGCGUGGCCUUGAGACAACACGCAGACGAAUGGAACUGAAAAUAUUAGUGCUCAAAUCGAACUCGUUUAAUGGAUUAUUUCGAAACGGUAAUGAAGAUUCAAUGUUAAGCAUUAACUGCAACAGUUGACAUUUUCGAAACAAUGAAUAUAUUGUGUAAUAUGAUAAAUCGUCUGUGCUGUUUUUCCUGAUUGAUUACAGACAUUCGGAUUUAGAAGCUUCAUUUUGCUUUUGUGAUGCACAUCAUCAUCAUGUAAAGUUACUGACUGGCUGUGAGUGCUGAAGUCACUGGUAGCUCUGGCAGUGUGUGAUCUGGACAUACACGGACAUACUGUUCUCAUUGAGUGCCAAGACCCUGUUUUAAUCAUCUCAGACAGCAGACAUUCACUUAAUUUUGCUUUGUUAGAGUUGAUAAAAAGCAUACAACUGUAAAAACAAUCCAAAUAAAACACUAAAAAAAAAAUGACAUAUUUAAUUUGUUUACAUGCACGUCACAUUAACCAACAUCAGAGAACAGUGAACAUGAAAGUGUUGUUGAAUUAUUGAAAUAUUAACUUUAUUAAUCUCAGGGGGACUUCAAGUAAAUAUUUUAGUUCAGCAGAGUUUGGCUGACAAAAACGUUUGGGAAUCCCUGCCCUACAAUGUUGAAGAUCAGAAAUGGUAUAAUUGUAUGUAUUGUAAAAAUGAGAAGAAAUACAUUUUAAUAAUAUUUUCAAAUCUUAAACACGAUUAACACAACAUUAUGGAUUGUUAAAUUUUGGAUGAUUUCACUUACCAUCAGGCACGUGCACACAUAGACAUAAAAGGGGCUUGAGCCCCUGCCCUUUUUCUUCCUCGAGAGAAAGUUCCCUUUUUUUCUGGGGUGCUUUUUUUUUGGGGGGGGGGGG